CAGCAGCCACGGUAAUACGAAGGGUGCAAGCGUUACUCGGAAUUACUGGGCGUAAAGAGCUCGUAGGUGGUUUGUCGCGUUGUUCGUGAAAACUCACAACUCAAUUGUGGGCGUGCGGGCGAUACGGGCAGACUGGAGUACUGCAGGAGAGACUGGAAUUCCUGGUGUAGCGGUGGAAUGCGCAGAUAUCAGGAGGAACACCGGUGGCGAAGGCGGGUCUCUGGGCAGUAACUGACGCUGAGGAGCGAAAGCGUGGGGAGCGAACAGGAUUAGAUACCCCAGUAGUCCCUGUCUCUUAUAC
rnacentral:rRNA from 1 species